rnacentral:rRNA from 1 species
UGGGGGAUAUUGCACAAUGGGCGAAAGCCUGAUGCAGCGACGCCGCGUGGGGGAUGAAGGCCUUCGGGUUGUAAACUUCUUUUGCUCUGAACAAGGCGCACCAUGGGGUGUGUUGAGUGUAGGGGUUGAUUAGCGCCGGCUAACUACGUUCCAGCAGCCGCGGUAAUACGUAGGGCGCGAGCGUUGUCCGGAAUUAUUGGGCGUAAAGGGCUUGUAGGUGGCUGGUUGCGUCUGUCGUGAAAGCUCAUGGCUUAACUGUGGGUUUGCGGUGGGUACGGGCUGGCUUGAGUGCAGUAGGGGAGGCUGGAAUUCCUGGUGUAGCGGUGGAAUGCGCAGAUAUCAGGAGGAAUACCGGUGGCGAAGGCGGGUCUCUGGGCUGUUACUGACACUGAGGAGCGAAAGCAUGGGGAGCGAACAGG